rnacentral:ncRNA from 1 species
UUCAUCAAGAGCAGUCGAGGGAAUGGCCCGAUGACACUGCGGCAACCCCCAAAUGGGAUAGGUGCCAAGUCCAACGGUAAUACCGGCAGAUGA